rnacentral:rRNA from 1 species
CCUACGGGGGGCUGCAGUGAGGAAUAUUGGUCAAUGGACGAGAGUCUGAACCAGCCAAGUAGCGUGAAGGAUGGCUGCCCUCUGGGUUGUAAACUUCUUUUAUAUGGGAAUAAAAUGUUCCACGUGUGGGAUUUUGUAUGUACCAUAUGAAUAAGGAUCGGCUAACUCCGUGCCAGCAGCCGCGGUAAUACGGAGGAUCCGAGCGUUAUCCGGAUUUAUUGGGUUUAAAGGGAGCGUAGGUGGAUUGUUAAGUCAGUUGUGAAAGUUUGCGGCUCAACCGUAAAAUUGCAGUUGAAACUGGCAGUCUUGAGUACAGUAGAGGUGGGCGGAAUUCGUGGUGUAGCGGUGAAAUGCUUAGAUAUCACGAAGAACUCCGAUUGCGAAGGCAGUUCACUGGACUGCAACUGACACUGAGGCUCGAAAGUGUGGGUAUCAAACAGGAUUAGAUACCCGGGUAGUC